GCCCCCGCUGGGAGUGACAGCAGAGGGUGCCAUGGGGCCAUUGGACAGCAGAGAAAAAAGGGGACUAUUAUAAUUGUUUUUACUCUCUGAUUAAAGGGUAUCUUAACAGAGUACAUUCAAUCUACAUAGGUGCAUUUGCUCUCUUUAUCUUUUUAGGGCCAUUCAAUUUUUACAGGUGCAUUUACUAUCUUACGAAGCUUACUUAACGAAGGUGCAUGUGCUUAACAAUGGUGCAUGUGCUCGACAGAGGUGCAUGUGCUUAACAAUGGUGCAUGUGCUCGACAGAGGUGCAUGUGCUGGACAAAGGUGCGUAUGCUGGACAAACGUGCAUGUGCUUGGCAGGUGCAUGUGCUUGGCAGGUGCAUGUGCUUGGCAAGUGCAUGUGCUUGGCAGGUGCAUGUGCUUGGCAGGUGCAUGUGCUUGGCAGGUGCAUGUGCUUGGCAGGUGCAUGUGCUUGGCAGGUGCAUGUGCUUGACACUGACAGGUGCAUGUGCUUGACAGAGGUGCAUUUACUCUCUCAAGGUGCAUUUACUUUAAAGAGGUGAUUUACUUCACAAAAGCACAUUUACUCUCUUCAAGUAAAUUUACUUAAUAAAGGUACAUUUACCCUCUUAAGAUGCAAGGGUGAAGUUACAUAUGUACCUUCAAUGCAAAGAUAGCUUGUAUCUUUAGAAAAUAGCUGCCUAGAAAUCUACUAAAGAUGAAGUUAAAACUUUUACCUGAUGGCCCACGGCUCCGGUAGGCCCUCUUAUCAGACCCGUCACUCUAUUUGCCCCUCCAGGCUACUGUCGGACCCGCUGCUCCGUUGGCCCCUCCUGUUGGUCUCAAGGAUCUGGCUAUCCCUCUUGUCCAUCCCAAGGCCUGGACCACCCUUCCUGUUGGCCCCGUGGCUCUAGGUACCUCUCCUGUCUGCCCCCGCUGGGAGCGACAGCAGAGGGUGCCAUGGGGCCAUUGGACAGCAGAGAAAAAAGGGGACUAUUAUAAUUGUUUUUACUCUCUAUUAAAGGGUAUCUUAACAGAGUACAUUCAAUCUACAUAGGUGCAUUUACUAUCUAACGAAGCUUACUUAACGAAGGUGCAUGUGCUUAACAAAGGUGCAAGUGCUCGACAGAGGUGCAUGUGAUGGACAAAGGUGCGUAUGCUGGACAAACGUGCAUGUGCUUGGUAGGUGCAUGUGCUUGGCAGGUGCAUGUGCUUGGCAGGUGCAUGUGCUUGGCAGGUGCAUGUGCUUGGCAAGUGCAUGUGCUUGGCAGGUGCAUGUGCUUGGCAGGUGCAUGUGCUUGGCAGGUGCAUGUGCUUGGCAGGUGCAUGUGCUUGGCAGGUGCAUGUGCUUGACACUGACAGGUGCAUGUGCUUGACACUGACAGGUGCAUGUGCUUGACAGAGGUGCAUUUACUCUCUCAAGGUGCAUUUACUUUAAAGAGGUGAUUUACUUCACAAAAGCACAUUUACUCUCUUCAAGUAAAUUUACUUAAUAAAGGUACAUUUACCCUCUUAAGAUGCAAGGGUGAAGUUACAUAUGUACCUUCAAUGCAAAGAUAGCUUGUAUCUUUAGAAAAUAGCUGCCUAGAAAUCUACUAAAGAUGAAGUUAAAAC